GACGAACGCUGGCGGCGUGCUUAACACAUGCAAGUCGAGCGGUAAGGCCCUUUCGGGGGUACACGAGCGGCGAACGGGUGAGUAACACGUGGGUGACCUGCCUCUAGCUCUGGGAUAAGCCUGGGAAACUGGGUCUAAUACCGGAUAUGACUCCACGGCGCAUGUUGUGGGGUGGAAAGCCUUGUGUGGCUAGAGAUGGGCCCGCGGCCUAUCAGCUUGUUGGUGGGGUGAUGGCCUACCAAGGCGACGACGGGUAGCCGGCCUGAGAGGGCGACCGGCCACACUGGGACUGAGACACGGCCCAGACUCCUACGGGAGGCAGCAGUGGGGAAUCUUGCGCAAUGGACGAAAGCCUGACGCAGCGACGCCGCGUGA
rnacentral:rRNA from 1 species